GACGAAGGAUGCAAGCGUUAUCCGGAUUCAUUGGGUUUAAAGGGAGCGUAGGUGGUCUGCUAAGUCAGUGGUGAAAGCCGGUCGCUUAACGAUCGAAUUGCCAUUGAUACUGGCGGACUUGAGUGCAGAUGCCGUUGGCGGAAUAUGACAUGUAGUGGUGAAAUACAUAGAGAUGUCAUAGAACACCGAUUGCGAAGGCAGCUAACGAAACUGUAACUGACACUGAGGCUCGAAAGUGUGGGGAUCAAACAGG
rnacentral:rRNA from 1 species